UUUCUUCCCUUCUCCGUCCCAUUGGACCAUUUUGAAACCACUUGUUAGCUUUCCUUUUGAACAGGUGUUGACUGAUUUGAUGCAGCUCCUACGACAGCGGUGCCACCUUCAGGGACGUCAGAGUCACCCGGCGUCCCGACUAACUCCUCUGCACAGGAUGGAGGAGGUGAGGAAGUGGAUGCUCAGGAGGUGCUGGAGGAGAACUCUGCUGGUCACUGAUCAUGUUUACACCUUCAUACCACAACUGGAGCUCUUACUGCGUUCAUGCCUCCUGGGAAUAACAGGGACCGUCCCCGUGGUUACGUUGUUUAUCCGACUGCCAGCGUUCACAUGGUCGGGAUGCGUCUUCUUCUUCUUCUGCUAUAUUGGCGUUUGGCUUAACAACUUGUUGCAUGACUGCCACCAACUGUUGGGCGUGUGUAACCAUGGAGACCACAAUAACAAAGAUUGUUGCUGUUUUCUUAUGCGAGCAUCCAAACAGCACAUGGACAGGUGUUAGUUUGUGUUAUCUGCAGGACAACCAACGGGAAAGGACGUGUAUAAGGUUUA